GUGAAGACUGCCGCCUUCUCCUGCCUGCCAUCUGCCCCAUAUGGUGGGGUGUCGCUCCAGGACUUUGCUUCAGACAGAGAGCUGCAUAGUGAAUCAAUGCACAAUAUUAAGACAGUGGAAUCAACACUGCAGGAGAACAGAAAUAGUUUUGAAUUCUCUCCCAAUUGCUCAUUCACAGUCCAGACUCUGAACUUAUGAUUGAGUCACAGGAAGAGAGUGCUGAACUCAGAAGUGGUGGGCAUCAGAGGCUAUGGUCUUCCCUGCAGUGUUGAAGAAAACAAAGGGCAUUUCAACAUAUCUCAUUAAUAAGGGAUUGGAACAGGAGAGGAAGAUCGUGGCAGGUUCCACUCUAAUAGCCAGCCAAAUGCACAGCCAUUAGAUGGUUGGAAACUGGAUUCAUGAGUCACCACGUGGAGGAGAACCUCCUGACCAGGACUCUGCAUGAGAGAGGAAUAAACGUUGAUUGGUUUACACUUCAUUAGCUGGAGCUAUUCCUAUGGCCAGACCUACUUCAAGACAGCUGGGAAGUCAGCCUCCCAUGAGUCAAAGAAGGAGAGGAGAACCAGUUAUGGGAUGGAGAGGAGAUGAAGAUGGUGGAGCAACAGGACAUGGAACUCACCUCCCCCCAUGAACAAAUCAAAAAUACAUCUACAUGUGGAAUAGUUCUCACUACAAACUAACUGAAAACUGGCAGAAAGAUUCCUAUACAACCAAGGCUGAAAGAAAGAUCCACAUGGAAUCAGAAAGAGAAGAGAAGCAAUCAGGUUGGGACCUGUGCCCCAGAGAGUGGACUCACUCAGAGGAAAGGGGAGAUUACACAGGUGGACACCCUCCCUGGGAAGUGAGUGGUUCAAGUCACAUACUGGGCACCCCUGCCCUGGGAUACAACACAGGGAAGACGAGCCACCUUGGCUGCUUGGAGGGCCAGUGGGACUAACAGGAGGGCUCUGGGAAGUCUGGACUCUGCUCAGGAACAAGCACAUGUGUGCAUGCUUCUCCUGAAGCAAGAUAGAGAGGGCAGAUUGAAACCAUGGGGGCAGCUCACUUGUUACCCACAACUGCACCAGCGCACACCAAAGCAUAAGCCAAGCGAACACUCUGGCCCCAUGUACUUCAUGUCACAGCUCCAUGCUGGAGUGAGCACUGCCAUGAAUGAGGAAAGAACUCAGUUAUGAAAUACAGCAGUGACUCAGACCUGAAACACCAUCUGAGGAGAGUGGGGGCAGCCAUUACUGCUGAAAGAGGAGAAAUAACAACCAAUACCACAGAGAAUCGAAAAAUCCUAAGAGAAUACUAUGACCAGUUAUAUAUGCCAACAACCUGGAAGAAACGGACAAAUUUCUAGAAACGUACAACCUGCCAAGACUGAAUUAGGAAAGAACAGACAAUCUGAACGACAGAUCACUAGUAGUGAAACUGAAUUUGUAAUUAAAAAAAAAAAAAAUACUGCCAGCAAACGAAAGUUCAGGAUGGGAUGGCUUCACAGGGGAAUUCUACCAAACAUACAAAGAAUAGCUAAUACGUGUCCUUCACAAACUAUUCUAGAAAAUUAAAGAGAAUGGAACACUCCCAAAUUCAUAUUAUGAGGCCACCAUUACCUUGACGUCAAAACCAGACAAAGACACUACAAAAAAAGACAAUUGCAGGCCUGCAUUUCUGAUGAAUAUAGAUGCAAAAAUCCUCAACAAAAUAUUAGUAAAUUGAAUUCAAUAAUAUAUAUAAAGGAUCAUACACCAUGAUCAAGUGGGAUUUAUUUCAGGGAUGCAAGGACCAUUCAAUAUUGCACAUCAAUCAAUGUGAAACACUACAUUAACAAAAAUAUCACAAGGUCAUGUUGAUACACACAGAAAAAGCAUUUGACAAAAUUCAAGAUCCAUUCAUGAUAAAAACUCUCAUCAAAGUUGGCACUGAUGGAACAUAUAAACGUAAUAAAAAGCCCAUUUAUGAUAAAUCCACAGGUAACAUCCUAUUCAACAAUGAAAAGCUAAAAGCUUUUCCUCUAAAAUCAGGAAAAAGACAGGAUGCCCACUCUCGCUACGCUACUUCUAUUUAACAUAGUGUUGGAAGUCCUAGCCACAGCAGUCAGACAAGGAAAAGAAAUAAAAGCAUCCAAAGUGGAAGGAAAGAAGUAAAACUGUUACUAUUUGCAAAUGACAUUAUACUAUAUACAUAUAACCCUAAAUUCUCCAUCAAAAAUUAUUAGAAUAAAUGAAUUCAGUAAGUUUCAGGAUACAAGAUUUAUACAGACAUCUGUUGCUUUUCUAAGACUAAAAAUGAACUAUCAGAAAGAAAAAGCAAAAAAAUACAAAACCAAAAACCCAAUCUGGUUUAAAAUUGCAUCAAAAAGAAUAAAAUACCUAGGAAUAAACUUUAACCAAGGAGGUGGAAGACCUAUACUCCGAGAACUAUUAAACAAUGAUGAAGGAAUUUGAAAAUGAUAAAAAAAAAAAGGAAAGCUGUCUCAUGCUCUUGGAUUAGAAGAAUUAGUAUUGUUAAAAAGCACUCUACAUAGUUAAUGCAAUCUCUAUCUCUAAAAUACCUCUAAAAUACUACCAUACGACCGAGCAAUCCCACUACUGGGCAUAUACCCUGAGAAAACCAUAGUUCAAAAAGAGUCAUGUACCAAAAUGUUCACUGCAGCUCUAUUUACAAUAGCCAGGACACGGAAGCAACCUAAGUGUCCAUCAUCGGAUGAAUGGAUAAAGAAGAUGUGGCACAUAUAUACAAUGGAAUAUUACUCAGCCAUAAAAAGAAAUGAAAUGGAGGUAUUUGUAAUGAGGUGGAUGGAGUUAGAGUCUGUCAUACAGAGUGAAGUAAGUCAGAAAGAGAAAAACAAAUACAGUAUGCUAACACAUAUAUAUGGAAUCUAAGGAAGAAAAAAAAAGGCCAUGAAGAACCUAGUGGCAGGACAGGAAUAAAGACACAGACCUACUAGAGAAUGGACUUGAGGCUAUGGGGAGGGGGAGGGGUGAGAUGUGACAGGGUGAGAGAGUGUCAUGGACAUAUAUACACUACCAAAUGUAAAAUAGCUAGUGGGAAGCAGCCA